rnacentral:rRNA from 1 species
GACGUAGGAUGCAAGCGUUGUCCGGAUUUAUUGGGCGUAAAGAGUUCGUAGGUGGUUCGUUAAGUCUGAUGUUAAAGACUGGGGCUCAACCCUGGAAGUGCAUUGGAUACUGGCGGACUUGAGUGUGGUAGAGGCAAUCGGAAUUCCAGGUGUAGCGGUGAAAUGCGUAGAUAUGCGGAGGAACACCGAUGGCGAAGGCAAUCCCCUGGGCCUGCACUGACGCUCAUGCACGAAAGCGUGGGGAGCAAACAGG